AGGGGCAUCGUUUAAUGGCAAGACACGGCACUUUGACUGCCGGGAUAUGGGUUCAAUUCCCAUUGCUCCCG
rnacentral:tRNA from 1 species